UUUGACUGGGGCGGUCUCCUCCUAAAGAGUAACGGAGGAGCACGAAGGUUGGCUAAUCCUGGUCGGACAUCAGGAGGUUAGUGCAAUGGCAUAAGCCAGCUUGACUGCGAGCGUGACGGCGCGAGCAGGUGCGAAAGCAGGUCAUAGUGAUCCGGUGGUUCUGAAUGGAAGGGCCAUCGCUCAACGGAUAAAAGGUACUCCGGGGAUAACAGGCUGAUACCGCCCAAGAGUUCAUAUCGACGGCGGUGUUUGGCACCUCGAUGUCGGCUCAUCACAUCCUGGGGCUGAAGUAGGUCCCAAGGGUAUGGCUGUUCGCCAUUUAAAGUGGUACGCGAGCUGGGUUUAGAACGUCGUGAGACAGUUCGGUCCCUAUCUGCCGUGGGCGCUGGAGAACUGAGGGGGGCUGCUCCUAGUACGAGAGGACCGGAGUGGACGCAUCACUGGUGUUCGGGUUGUCAUGCCAAUGGCACUGCCCGGUAGCUAAAUGCGGAAGAGAUAAGUGCUGAAAGCAUCUAAGCACGAAACUUGCCCCGAGAUGAGUUCUCCCUGACUCCUUGAGAGUCCUGAAGGAACGUUGAAGACGACGACGUUGAUAGGCCGGGUGUGUAAGCGCAGCGA
rnacentral:rRNA from 1 species